UGAUGAUGGGUAUAAAAUGGCUGCUUGAUGGUCACCACGUCUACGUUGUCAGUACCUGUGAUGAUAGUCGUGCAUCGUGCAUCAUGCUGUAUCACCUGUUGCUGCAGACAGUAAAGACACAACAGUCAGCAGGUGUGUCACGUGGUCAGCCUCACCUCCUGCAAUAUAAUCUUUUUGACGGUAAAGACGUGGAGAAUGCCGUCAACGACUUGUCACAGGCGGCGAGCGGAGGGUCGUUGUACGUCAUCGCUGAUGAAGUGAUUGAAAGGUCACACGUCAAGAUUUUCUAUGACAAGCUGCUGACACAAGUUCCCCAUCUCCAUCUUUUGGCGGCAAGUUGUUACCAUGGACACGCACCCGCCGGCUGGCAAGAGGAAUAUUUAACCAGACCCCUCCGCUCUCCACCGGCCGUCGUCAGGGAAGUCGAGCGGGACGAGAUGAUCGCUCACCACCUUGCUGUGAAGUCCUACAUUGAGCGAGGUGUGACCGACCACACAGACGGCCCGCCAGUCAGACCACUGGAUCACCGAAGUCCGAAGGUCACCCAGAUGGCCAGCCACGUGACUGUGUGACGUGUGGUGGCGAGGUGGUCAGCUUCCUACACAGUCUUCGUGUGGGUGUUACGGAGAAUGUCACGACUGCCUCAACCACUGUCCCCUUCACCACCGGCGGCACACCACCGCCCUGCCUGCAGUGGAGAGACGUGCUGGUGAUGUACACGAACGACUUCAAUGAAAACUCGGGUAUAAUGAAGGUACUUCAAGAAGCGGGUAUCCCAGUGCGGAUGAUGAAGGACGAUGACUUUGAGGACGUGGCCACGGCCCGCAGUGACGUGGUGUGGAUGGCCUACGGAGAUCGUGUUCGUGGUCUAGAGAGAAAAGUCGUCGUCUGUGUGUCUCAUGUUCUUGACAGUGUCAGCCUCCGACUUUACUGCUUGUCUCGUUGUACGGCACAACUUAUGUAUAUACCCAGCUACGCCCGGGUGGUCCUCACACCCGACACCUGACACCUGUUGUAUUCUUGUGUCUGAACCUAGUACAUCAACACUUGUUUUUAGUUGUUGUUCUCUUCCUCUCUCAGUCUUUCCGGACGUCAUCAACACACCUCUCAUCACUAAAAAUCAAAGCGACAACAGAUGGCGGCGCGUAUUUCAGUCGCCAAAGGUUACACAGCCUGUCGCCACUUCACCUCAUAAUACAUUUGAUGUAUUUUCUCACACCACGAGUUCCACUUCCAGUUGACACAACAGCUAUCGCCAAUAACAUCAUCAGUAACAUCAAGGCCUCCAUAGUGUAUUUGUCCUCUAGAUAUCAGGGUAAUGGAUAAUGGUUAAAGCUAAUGUAUUAUGUCAAAUAAUAUAUUGUAUAAGCAUCUAAAAUAAACAUAUAUGCGUAUUCUGAAUUUAGUUAAUGUUUAUUUCCAUGUGUGUAUACAUACGUGUGUGUAGAGCUGUAGUUGUCUUUGUGUGUG